rnacentral:lncRNA from 10 species
UGACCUCAGAUGAUCCACCCGCCUUGGCCUCCCAAAGUGCUAGGCGUGAGCCACUGCACCCAGCCGCCCCAUGUCUCUUCUCAGAACAUCUCUGAAGUGAUUUUUCAGUGAUUUUCCAUGCCCCACUCAUCUGAACUUUAAUCCUGCAUUUCUCUGUGCCAGCCUACAUUUGUUGUCCUCACAACAUUAAAGGUUCUUGACUGCACCCACUGUGUCUCUAUUCCAUCCAGCCCAAUGUCUGACUCUCAGAAGGUUGUGUUAAUUUUCCAUUGCGCAUGACAAAUUAUCACUGCGGGGCAUGGUGGUGUGCACCUGUAGCCCCAGCUACUCAGGGUCUGAGGCCAGAGGAUGCCUUGAGUCCAGGAGUUCUGGGCCUUAGUGCACUAUGCCAAGUGUCUGCACUUAUCAGGUGUCUGCACUAAGUUUGGCAUCAAUAUGGUGACCUCUCGGAAGUGAGGGACCAUUAGGUUGCCUAAGAAGGGGUGAAUCAGCCCCGGCCAGAAAUGGAGCAGGUCAGAACUCCCAUGCUGAUCAGUAGUGGGAACGUGCCUGAAAAUAGCCACCACACUCCAGCCUGGGUAACAUAGUGAGACCCCUUCUCUAAAACAAAAUAAACAUAACAUAGUGAGACCCCUUCUCUAAACUCAUAACAUAGUGAGACCCCUUCUCUAAAACAAAAUAAAAAUAAACAAAUUACCACAAACACCGAAUAGGUGUUGAAACCAGCACCUAUUUUAAACUCACAGUUUUGCAGGUCAGAAGUCUGGGCAGGCCCAUCUGGGUUCCCUGCUCUGGUAUCACAAGGCUAAAACCAAGACGUUGGCUAGGCUGGACUCUAGGGAAGAAGCUGCUUCCAAGUUCAUUCAGCUUGUUGGCAAAAUUUAGUUCUGUGCAGCUAUGAGACUGAGGUCCCUGCUACCUUGUGGGCUGUCAGCCAUGGGUCACUCUCAUCUCCUAGAAGCUGCUCUUUGGUCCUUACCUGUGACCUCCUCCAUCUUCAAGGUGCAUCAAAUUCUUAUGCUUUCAAUCUCUCUGACCUCCCUUUUUGCCAUCAACUGGAUAAAACUCUCUGCUUGUAAUGGAUUUGUGAUUAGAUUAGAGCCCCUGGAAAAUCCCCCUUUGAUUAACUCUGAAUCAACUGAUUAGUGACCUUAAUGACAUCUGCAAAACCACAUUUUGCCAGGUAAUGGAGCCUAAUCAGGGUAUUCCUAGACCAUGGGAUGAGAACAGGAAAUUUCAUGAAUGGGGUCACUUUAGGAUUUUUCCUACCACAAGUGUCUCGGAAUAUACGCAAGAGCAAGAAUUAUUGGGGUAGGAUGAUCUCCACCCAAGCAAUUUCUGUCUACUGUCCUUGCUAUGACAAAUCCUGACCUGGCCCAUGACCGGCUAACAACUGUGUAGACCUAACUGGAUGCCAUGAUCCCAACUGGGUACCUCAUGUACACAGUAGAGGGAGCCGAGUGACACCAACACUCACAUCUGGUUCCCUCUGGCAAGUCCAAGGGUUAUCUAAUGCACUAGCCCCUCAGCCACACUCAGAGACUGCUUUCCUAAAUUGGGACAGAGAUCAUUCUUGAUCCUUUAGCUUUAAAAGACACCAUUUCACAUUCCCUAAACUCAUCCCCUAGAGCCUAGACUCUAGACUGGUCUAGGGUCCUUUGCUUGAGAGUAAAUCUUUU